rnacentral:rRNA from 1 species
UUGGCUCAGGAUGAACGCUGGCGGCAGGCUUAACACAUGCAAGUCGAGGGGCAGCGCGGGAGUAGCAAUACUUCUGGCGGCGACCGGCGGAAGGGUGCGUAACGCGUGAGCAACAUGCCCGUGGCAGGGGGAUAAGCGAUGGAAACGUCGUCUAAGACCCCGUAACAACAGACCUCGCAUGGGGUUUGUUUGAAAGCUUCGGCGGCCACGGAUUGGCUCGCGUCCCAUUAGGCAGUUGGCGGGGUAACGGCCCACCAAACCGACGAUGGGUAGGGGUUCUGAGAGGAAGGUCCCCCACAAUGGAACUGAGACACGGUCCAUACUCCUACGGGAGGCAGCAGUGGGGAAUA